GGCUCAGGAUGAACGCUAGCUACAGGCUUAACACAUGCAAGUCGAGGGGAAACGAUAGAGAAAGCUUGCUUUUUCUAGGUGUCGACCGGCGCACGGGUGAGUAACGCGUAUCCAACCUGCCCAUCACUUGGGGAUAACCUUGCGAAAGUAAGACUAAUACCCAAUGAUAUCUCUAGAAGACAUCUGAAAGAGAUUUAAAGAUUUAUCGGUGAUGGAUGGGGAUGCGUCUGAUUAGCUUGUUGGCGGGGUAACGGCCCACCAAGGCGACGAUCAGUAGGGGUUCUGAGAGGAAGGUCCCCCACAUUGGAACUGAGACACGGUCCAAACUCCUACGGGAGGCAGCAGUGAGGAAUAUUGGUCAAUGGACGAGAGUCUGAACCAGCCAAGUAGCGUGCAGGAUGACGGCCCUAUGGGUUGUAAACUGCUUUUAUAAGGGAAUAAAGUGAGUCUCGUGAGACUUUUUGCAUGUACCUUAUGAAUAAGGACCGGCUAAUUCCGUG
rnacentral:rRNA from 1 species